AGAGUUUGAUCAUGGCUCAGGACGAACGCUGGCGGCGUGCCUAAUACAUGCAAGUCGAGCGGACUUAAAAAGCUUGCUUUUUAAGUUAGCGGCGGACGGGUGAGUAACACGUGGGCAACCUGCCUGUAAGACUGGGAUAACUUCGGGAAACCGGAGCUAAUACCGGAUAAUCCUUUUCUACUCAUGUAGAAAAGCUGAAAGACGGUUUACGCUGUCACUUACAGAUGGGCCCGCGGCGCAUUAGCUAGUUGGUGAGGUAACGGCUCACCAAGGCGACGAUGCGUACCCGACCUGAGA
rnacentral:rRNA from 1 species